rnacentral:misc_RNA from 1 species
GAUGAAGAACGCAGCGAAAUGCGAUACGUAAUGUGAAUUGCAAAUUCAGUGAAUCAUCGAGUCUUUGAACGCACAUUGCGCCCCAUGGUAUUCCGGGGGGCAUGCCUGUCCGAGCGUCAUUGCUGCCCUCAAGCACGGCUUGUGUGUUGGGCCCCGUCCUCCGAUCCCGGGGGACGGGCCCGAAAGGCAGCGGCGGCACCGCGUCCGGUCCUCGAGCGUAUGGGGCUUUGUCACCCGCUCUGUAGGCCCGGCCGGCGCUUGCCGAUCAACCCAAAUUUUUAUCCAGGUUGACCUCGGAUCAGGUAGGGAUACCCGCUGAACUUAAGCAUAUCAAUAAGCGGAGGA